rnacentral:rRNA from 1 species
UACGGAGGGGGCUAGCGUUGUUCGGAAUUACUGGGCGUAAAGCGCACGUAGGCGGCUUUGCAAGUCAGAGGUGAAAGCCCGGGGCUCAACCCCGGAAUUGCCUUUGAGACUGCAUCGCUAGAAUUGUGGAGAGGUAAGUGGAAUUCCGAGUGUAGAGGUGAAAUUCGUAGAUAUUCGCAAGAACACCAGUGGCGAAGGCGGCUCACUGGCCCGGUACUGACGCUGAGGUGCGAAAGCGUGGGGAGCAAACAGG